rnacentral:lncRNA from 1 species
UUUGGACUAAAGUGAAAGGUUUUGAGAAUUUUGAAAAAUAUGGGGAUUAUGUUGAAAAUGACUUUUUUGCGCAAUAAGGGCUAGUUUUCGGGCUUUAACUAUAAAAACUCAACUCCAACUUCAUUUUAAGAACUAAUGCAAGCAUAAAUAAGAUCAUAUAACAUAUAUUGAGCUUCCAUUUCGCAAAUCAUCAUUUAUUGAAUCAUUAUUGAGCUAUAAUUUGUUAUCUACUCUUAAAGAGAGUUUCAUUGUUGUGAUUUUCAUUUCUUAUCAAAUUGUGAGUGUACAAGUGUGAGAAACACUUGGGGUGAAGAGAUUGGGGAGAUAAUCUCUUGUUGUAAAGGCCCAUUGAUACCUUGGAAGUCAAUUGUAAACAUUUAAAGCCUUGGGAGGCUUGGAUAGUGAAAUCCUCAAGCCGGGUGUGCUUGAAGGCGUGGACGUAGGCGGGGAUAGUCGAACCACGUAAAAAUCCUUGUGUUUGUUUUCUCUUCCCUUACUCUUUUAAUAUUGUGCUUGAUUGAAUUUAUUGUUUUUGAUUUGAUUAAGGCAAUAGAUUAAAUUGUUGUGUGAAUUGUAUUGCAUAAUUUUAAAACCUCAAUUCAUCCUCUCUCUUGGGUUGCAUAACUUGCAUUUCAUUAUGGACAUUAAAAUAUAAUAAAAAAGAAAAAAUAGAAUUUUUACUCUUUGAACCCAUCUUCAUAUUCAACAUAAUUUUAUCAAACCCUAAUCAUAAAAUCCUAAUUAAAUUGUCAUUAAAUCCUAAUCAAUGAAGAGGUUUUAUGGAGGAACACAACAAAAUUGACAAUUGUUUGAAUCGAUAACACUAACACGACUUAAAAGUGUUUAAUUUACUCCCAAGUAUAAGAGUGCCUAAUUAUACUAUAGCUCGGUGAGUCCGAGGUUGAUCCACAGAGUAAUGAUUUAAUUUGUUUAUUUAAAUUUAUCUAAAAAAUGAAAAUAAAAUUUAAAUGUAUGCAAUUUAAUUUGA